rnacentral:rRNA from 1 species
UACGAGGGAGGCGAGCGUUGUUCGGAUUUACUGGGCGUAAAGGGCGCGCAGGCGGUUCUGUUUGUCGAGUGUGAAAGCCCCGGGCUCAACCUGGGAACUGCGCUCGAAACGGCGGAACUAGAGUUCGGGAGAGGAGAGUGGAAUUCCCAGUGUAGAGGUGAAAUUCGUAGAUAUUGGGAAGAACACCGGUGGCGAAGGCGGCUCUCUGGACCGAUACUGACGCUGAGGCGCGAAAGCGUGGGGAGCAAACAGG